rnacentral:rRNA from 1 species
UUAAAGUUAAAAAAGUUCGUAAUCAAUGGUUUCCGUAGGGUGAACCUGCGGAAGGAUCAUUAUCUGAGGCGCGAGGCCCCGCAGUCGACGCAAGCUACUGCGGCGGUUGACCCUCCACCCGUGUGAACUCUUAUCUGUUGCUUUGGCGGGCCGGGCUCGACCUGCCGGCUCCGGCUGGCGAGUGCCCGUCAGAGAAGCCCCAACUCGUGCUGUGAGUGUUGUCUGAGGAAAUGUGGAAUUAGUAAAACUUUCAACAACGGAUCUCUUGGCUCUGGCAUCGAUGAAGAACGCAGCGAAAUGCGAUAAGUAAUGUGAAUUGCAGAAUUUAGUGAAUCAUCGAAUCUUUGAACGCACAUUGCGCCCCCCGGCAUUCCGAGGGGCAUGCCUGUUCGAGCGUCAGAACACCCCUCAAGCCUGGCUUGGUCUUGGGGCUCGCCGGCUCGGCGGCCCCUAAACGCAGUGGCGGUGCUGUUGUGCUCUCCGCGUAGUCAGCUAUCUCGCGACAGGGCGGCGACGGCACCCGCCAGAACCCCAAUUUUUGGAUGACCUCGGAUCAGGUAGGGAUACCCUGCUGAGACUUAAGCA